UGAUUUCUUCAAUUUCAUCUCAUCAAUCCGACCACCUGCUUAGGUUUUCCUCAAAAGUACAUCAUGGCGAUGGAAUCAGGCAAAAGCAGGUGUCAAGUUUCAGACUCCGGCAUCAAACUCAAGGUUGAACAUGGGAGUUGAUCCUGUUUUAGCUGGGUUUUGCUUGACAAAGAAUUCGUUGUUUGUUCAUUGGAUCUUCUUUCUUGACUGACUGAAGGUUAUGGUAGUGGAAUAGAGAGUCUGAUAGUUGAGGAGACAAUUAUUUGGGAGAAGUCGAAGGAGGAGAAGUCGAAGCAGGAGCCAUAGUCCUCAGAGGCACCGUGGUUACGACGAGCGUGGCAGUCGUGGUUCAGGAAGAAGAGGUGAUUGCGAUCAUCACGAUAGUGACAGAGACAGGGGCAGUAGGAGGCUCAGAAGCAGCAGGAGUCCACCUCGAAGAGGGGGACGCAGCAGAAGUCCAGGUGCAAAGAGAAACCGAAGCCCAGUUAGGGAAGGAAGUGUUGAGAGGAGGGCAAAGAUCGAGCAGUAGAACCAAGAAAGGGAGCAAGCCGACUCCCGCCCGAAAGCCGCCAAUGAUGAAAAUAACGAUGGGCCCGCUGCUGCUUCGCCAAAUGGAGAUCAUCAUCCUUUACGAAUAUGUUUUAAUGCAGGUAUUGAGUGGUGAGACAGAGUCUGUAAAGGCCACAUGGAAGCUAAGGUGUUAGCUACUUGUAACCCUUAUUUUCCAUUUUAAAAUGCACGUUAUCGCCUUAUCGGUUUCGUUCAAAGCCGGAUUGGAUCCCCACAAUAUGAAGCUAAUCAUUUAGAAACUUUGAUUUGUAGGACUUAUCUUAACCUCCCUUGGAGGCCUCUUAUUUCCGUUGAUGGGACUGCGGUCUAUGAUUUGGACAAUCAGUUUAGAGGGUGGCAGCGGUGGUGUUGUCAUGUUAAAUGCUGUGGUGGCAUCAACAUCGACUGGUAAGUGACCCUCCUUGCUCUAACAUGAUUGUAGUCCUUUGGUGGCGCUAUAUUUUGCGUUUCCCUGUAUAAAUUUCAGCUCCCUCUUCUUGUCCUUUUCUAUUUCAUUCUUCAUCUAGCUUUCUUUAAUGAAAUGGUGAAUCAUGUUUACUUAUUGUGUUAAGUAAAUUAGAAUGAUCUCUACCAGUUAAAUUUUGAAGACAAAGACGUAUGGUCUAAACUAAAAUGACUUUUAGCUAGGUGUAUAAGUGCCUCUCUUUAAAAAAAUGAUGAAUAAUUUUAUUCUAUGUUGACUUCUUUCAAUUCUUGGAAAGCCCAAAAUGCUCGGUGAUCACCAACGAUAAAGGUUUUUGGUCGUGUCACCUGACAUUG
rnacentral:lncRNA from 1 species